UGGCCCCAUGGCUCCUAGGGAGUGGCACCAUUGUGAGGUGUGGCCUGAUGAAGUGGGUGUGGCCUUGUUGGAGGAAGUAUGUCACUAGGGGUGGAUGUUGCGGUUUCAGAUGCUCAAGCCAGGCCUAGUGUCUCUCUCCCUUCCUGCUGUCUGAGGAUCUGCAUGUGUAACUCUCAGCCACUUCUCCAGCACCAAUGUCUGCCUGAAUGCUACCAUGUUCCCACCAUGAUGAUAGUAGGCUAAAACUGAAACUGCAAGACAAUUCUAUUAAAUGCUUCCCUUUAUAGGAGUUGCCGUGGUCAUGAUGUCUGUCCUGAAACCCUGGGAGAAUGAGCUGAACAGAAAGCAUCUAUUUCUCCAGAGUGGAAACCAACUCCCCAAG
rnacentral:lncRNA from 1 species